CCUCGUGUGGCGUAGCGGUUUGAGGGUUGGACUACAACUCUGGAGACCAGGGUUCGAUUCCCAGCUCAGCCG